AAUGGGCGCAGCCUGAUCCAGCCAUACCGCGUGGGUGAAGAAGGCCUUCGGGUUGUAAAGCCCUUUUGUUGGGAAAGAAAUCCAGCCGGCUAAUACCUGGUUGGGAUGACGGUACCCAAAGAAUAAGCACCGGCUAACUUCGUGCCAGCAGCCGCGGUAAUACGAAGGGUGCAAGCGUUACUCGGAAUUACUGGGCGUAAAGCGUGCGUAGGUGGUCGUUUAAGUCCGUUGUGAAAGCCCUGGGCUCAACCUGGGAACUGCAGUGGAUACUGGACGACUAGAGUGUGGUAGAGGGUAGCGGAAUUCCUGGUGUAGCAGUGAAAUGCGUAGAGAUCAGGAGGAACAUCCAUGGCGAAGGCAGCUACCUGGACCAACACUGACACUGAGGCACGAAAGCGUGGGGAGCAAACAGGAUUAGAUACCCUGGUAGUCCACGCCCUAAACGAUGCGAACUGGAUGUUGGGUGCAAUUUGGCACGCAGUAUCGAAGCUAACGCGUUAAGUUCGCCGCCUGGGGAGUACGGUCGCAAGACUGAAACUCAAAGAAUUUGGAGGG
rnacentral:rRNA from 1 species